UGGGGAAUAUUGCGCAAUGGACGAAAGUCUGACGCAGCAACGCCGCGUGGGUGAUGAAGGCCCUAGGGUCGUAAAGCCCUGUCAGGAGGGAAGAAGCUCUGACGGUACCUCCGAAGGAAGCACCGGCUAACUCCGUGCCAGCAGCCGCGGUAAUACGGAGGGUGCGAACGUUGUUCGGAAUCAUUGGGCGUAAAGGGCACGUAGGCGGCCGCGAAGGUCGGGUGUGAAAGCCCAGGGCUCAACCCUGGAAUUGCGCUCGAAACCGCGUGGCUUGAGUCCCGGAGGGAGAAGUGGAAUUCCAGGUGUAGGGGUGAAAUCCGUAGAUAUCUGGAGGAACACCAGCGGCGAAGGCGACUUCUUGGCCGAGGACUGACGCUGAGGUGCGAAAGCGUGGGGAGCAAACAGG
rnacentral:rRNA from 1 species